rfam:Bat coronavirus CDPHE15/TSA/2006, complete genome
CUAGUCUUGCACACAAUGGUAAGCCAGUAGUAAUGACAGUGCAAGUAGGUUAUUACUAUAUUA